UACAGAGGUCCCAAGCGUUGUUCGGAUUCACUGGGCGUAAAGGGUGCGUAGGCGGUUGGGUAAGUCUGUCGUGAAAUCUCCGAGCCUAACUCGGAAACUGCGUCGGAUACUAUUCAACUCGAGGAAUGGAGGGGAGACUGGAAUUCUCGGUGUAGCAGUGAAAUGCGUAGAUAUCGAGAGGAACACCAGUGGCGAAGGCGAGUCUCUGGACAGUUCCUGACGCUGAGGCACGAAAGCCAGGGGAGCAAACGGG
rnacentral:rRNA from 1 species